CGUGUCUUAAGCCAUGCACGGUGUAUUAUGGUGCACAAUUCGACGACGCCUCGAUUCUGUUGCACAGAGGACACGCGAUAACUUUGUACAACCGCGGGCAGUAUGUGAGUGCUCCUACCGUCGCGGGGGUAAGGGAGAGGAAGAAAGACCCUGGUGGCUAAUCUGGAACAAUUCAAGAUCGAACGUGCGAGAGUUUCUCCGUUCCAGUGAUGGGAAGUACUUGAAGUACCCAAGUACUGAGAUGUUGUGCCUUGAAGCAGAAUUCCGAUUCGAGGCCAGGAUGGGAAGCAUGGAGGAAACACUGCACAACGGGUGACAACUGCCAUAUCAACAGCCCCCACAAAGAGAUGGAGACUGCUGUGAUGGAGACAGCUGUAAUGUUGUGAUCAUAUUCCCUGAGCGACAAACAGGUCUGCAUCCCAGCGGAACUCGAUUCGAAGCGAAUUUUAAGCUUGCAAAUAGUUUCGCAGCAGCGGCGUCGAGCCGCGCCUUUUCGUGCAAUCUGUGAUAUUUUGACUAUAUGUAGUAGUUCUUAUUCAUUUUUA